rnacentral:rRNA from 1 species
GGAAUAUUGGUCAAUGGGCGCGAGCCUGAACCAGCCAAGUAGCGUGCAGGAUGACGGCCCUAUGGGUUGUAAACUGCUUUUAUGCGGGGAUAAAGUGAGGGACGUGUCCCUUAUUGUAGGUACCGCAUGAAUAAGGACCGGCUAAUUCCGUGCCAGCAGCCGCGGUAAUACGGAAGGUCCGGGCGUUAUCCGGAUUUAUUGGGUUUAAAGGGAGCGCAGGCCGGAGGUCAAGCGUGACGUGAAAUGUAGCCGCUCAACGGCUGAGUUGCGUCGCGAACUGGUAGUCUUGAGUGAGUUCGAUGUUGGCGGAAUUCGUGGUGUAGCGGUGAAAUGCUUAGAUAUCACGAAGAACUCCGAUUGCGAAGGCAGCCAACAAGGCCUUUACUGACGCUAAAGCUCGAAGGUGCGGGUAUCGAACA